UAUAUGGCGCUCUAAUAUUGGAUAAUGAAUUUUAUUUAUUUUAUUUUAGAUUAGUGUUUGAUUUUGAAUGAAUUUUAUUUUAGAUUUUUUUUUAAUUAUUUUAGUGUUUGAUUUUAGAUGGAGUUGUAUAUAUUAGUAAUUAAUUAAAAUAUCUACGUGGCACCUAAUUAAUUAUCUAUAUGGCAAUCGGUUUUUUUAAUUCAAAAAUAAAUUAGAAAUCUUAUUUUUCAUUGGCCGAAACCAUUAGUAAUUUUAGGUGGCGCUCUAAUAUUUCAGCAAAUAUGCAUUCUUUAUAUAUAUAUAUAUAUAUAUAUAUAUAUAUAUAUAUAGAGAGAGAAAAGGGAUCACGUGAGAACACUUCUUAAGGUGAGAACACAAUCUUAUGUGAAAAUAAAUGUGAGCCUUCGGAUAUUUUCUAAUCUAACGGCUGAAAUCAAUAGCUUAAUAAUGGCAUUUUUGUAAAUUCGAUAAACUAUUACUCGGCCAGCUUCUUCCUCUUUCACGCCUAAUUGCUUCUCUCUCUAAAAUCGGACAAGCUCUCAUCUCUCUCCCUUUUCAUUGUGUCGGUGUAUCAAGCUCGAAUUUCUCUUAAAUUUCAGUCUAAUUGCUGCGAUUUAAUCCACGUUCUCGAAUAUAUUAAUCUAAUUUCCAGAUUUGGUGUGGUUUUAAAGCCUUACCCAAAUCAAGGACCUGAAGAAGCCAUUUAAACCACUGAAGGAUCUACACAUGGAGGAAGUCAUUGCCGAUAUUAUCAAGAAGCCAUUUAAGCAUAUUUUUUUAAGUAAUUUUAUACAGGGUUUUUGCUUUUUGUUGCUAAUUUUCUUUUGAGGACAUUAUUAUACUGCUUGUAAUAAAUAAUGUGGUACAUGAUAUUUUAUUUAUCAUUGUACUUUUGUCUAAGAUUUAAAUAUAUUUUUGUAUAUUUUUCGCGA